rnacentral:rRNA from 1 species
GAUGAACGCUAGCGGCGGGCCUAAUACAUGCAAGUCGAACGGUGUCUUCGGACAUAGUGGCGCACGGGUGCGUAACACGUAUGCAACCUACCUUACAUUGGGGGAUAGCCUUUCGAAAGGGAGAUUAAUACCGCAUAAGACAGUAGCUGGGCAUCCAGCAGCUGUUAAAGAUUUAUCGAUGUAAGCUGGGCAUGCGUCCAAUUAGCUAGUUGGUGAGGUAACGGCUCACCAAGGCAAAGAUUGGUAGGGGAACUGAGAGGUCAAUCCCCCACCCUGGCACUGGGAUACGGGCCAGACUCCUACGGGAGGCAGCAGUAGGGAAUAUUGGGCAAUGGACGCAAGUCUGACCCAGCCAUGCCGCGUGCAGGAUGAAGGCGUUAUGCGUUGUAAACUGCUUUUAUACAGGAAGAAACGACUCUUGCGAGAGGCAUUGACGGUACUGUAUGAAUAAGCACCGGCUAACUCCGUGCCAGCCGCCGCCGUAACAC